rnacentral:lncRNA from 1 species
CAAUGUACGUAUUCCGUCUUGAAUGCAUUCUUCCAUUAAGUAAUGUAUCAUUUGCACUGUAUCGAACAAUCAAGAAAUAUAUACGAGUAGGAAAGUCAUAUCUCUAAACAUUACUGGAUUAUAUAUAACAUCCUAAACAUUACAAUCAAUCAAUCAAUCGAGAGUCUUCUAUACAUUUAGAAACUUUCUAUAUUAAUUCUCGAAUGUUUGAUAAAACUUUUCAUAUGAUAUGUUUAAAAUCACAGAAUUAAAAGAUAUAUUGAUAUAUUUAUCAUAUCAUUAAUUUAAGAUCACAAGAUUCAAAAAUCGCUUCUAUUAUUUUAAACUCUAUACCAAAUUAAAAUAGACAAACGAAACAUUGAAAAUAAAAUAGAAGGGUACAAGCUUUGUUUAUUUGAUUGGCUGUUUACAGUAGGCAAGGGACUUUUUCAUUAUAUUACUAUAUAAUAUACUUUAUUAACUAUAUGAUAGAUCCAUUACCACAAAUUGAGGAGUGAAGCACAGGGUUUUGCGCCGGGGGUAUGGGGGUAGGCGGUGAUUUGGAGAUUCUUUAACUUAUUGUUUUGUUUUGUUUCUUAUUCGGUGUUUAGUAUUUAUAUUAGAGUUUGAUUUAUAUUGAAAAGUUCAUACUGAGAUAAAACACUUCCAAUAAAAGUAAUUUCAUAUAUACCCAAAGAACUUGAACAUGAAGAUUAUUAAACCUUAUUCUCAUGUCAUAUCUUGAAAAUAAUUUUUUAAAUUAUCACAUCCUUUUUCGUUCAUUUUUACUUUGUCCAUUGUUAAUUUCAUGACCUGUUUAAAACAAUUAUUUGACACAGAGACUGAGAAAUGGACAUGAAGUGUCACACGCUUGGACAAGAAACACACAACUUAAAAAAGGAAAAAAGGACAGUCAGUGUCUUGAUUAAUGUAUCGUCCUUUUUAUAUAAAAAAAAAGUGUUAUCAUUACCCAAAUCCAAUAAGAAAAAACAUCUAACGUAUGGUAGACAUCUAAUGCAUUGAUUAACCAUACUCCUAUAUUUUAAGGUUUUAUAUCAUUUUUUCCCCUAUUUUUUCAUUCGAUGUCUGAAAUUUACAUUAGGGUCCGACUAAGUUCGAAUAUGCAUAUUGAAAGGUAAAGCAUUCCCCAACAAAGGAAACUUCGUAUCCAGAGACACUCGAACUCAAAAAUUAUAUUCCUUGAAGUGAAGAAUUGAAAGUGGUUGUUAGUUAGAUAACACGUAUGUAAUGUACAUCUUUAGUGUUCUGCUCAUGGGAAGAGGGAUGCGGGAAAGUGAAUCUUCUCACUUAUGCUCACUUUUGUUUUAGAAGUCAGAUUGAAUUUACAUAUGGUGCAAUCAACAGAAGGGUUCCAAACCUCUAAAAGUCGAGGCUGAUUUAACGUCACAACUUCCCCUUAGCGCACAACUAAAUGAUGCACGGAUUGGAAAUGCGGAUUUGUAAGGAUCACAACUAGAUGUUGUUCAAAUAAAUAAGGGUAUAUUUGGAUCAACUAUUGCAGGUGCACGAUAAAGGUAUAUCUGAGCUAAGCUAUUAACGAAUGAUAUAUAUUUGUUCGAUUAGUAAAAAUAAAAUUUUAUUUUUAAAAUGAUAGACAAGUAAAAGAGUAUCGAAUAACGAACCUUCCACUCCCGCAUUAAAAGUCGCACGUGCUGUUCCUACUUGGAUUCUGUACGGUCACCCACGUGUCCAUCCCUUUCUCCUAGGCGUUAAUCCACGUGUUCUCUUCUCUCCUUUCUCUUAUAUCUUCUAUUUCCACUUUCUUCAAAUUCUCCUCAAAAGCCCAUUAACACACUCGGCCCAAAUCAAACUCCACCUACCAAACGCCGUCGUUUCGACUUUCACCUCUCAUUUUCCGAUAACACCGGCAAACCUUUGAAAACUCGCCGGAAACAUUAACUACCUAUUGCCGGCGACGAAAACAGUUGAUGAAUUGAAUUAGAUCAUCAUAGCCGAAGACAAUGGAAACAGAAGUUCAAUCUAAUUUCACUUACAUGGGAAGAACAUUUACCGGUCUUGGAAUUAAUGAAUCUUCCUCUGCUUUCAGCGACUGCAAUAGCGAUAGAUCCGGCGAGUUUCCGACGACUUCUUCUCAAAGCCGGCGGUUAUUAAUUGCAUGUGCGUCGGAUAAUUAUAACUCCGAUGAAUUGAUUCAACAA